rnacentral:lncRNA from 1 species
UUUUUGAAAGUGCAAUUUUUUUAUAGAAUGAUAAACUAAUGCGUAUGAUUAAUAUAAUUUUAAUUUCAGAAUAUCAUAACAACAUAAACUGAGUUUAAAAAAUUAAUAUAAACCCUACAAAACUAUCCCUAAUACAAUUUUUUAAUUCUUCCAACUGAGAGUGAUAUUAAAUUACGAAUAAAAAAUUAACCACUAAAAUUCUCUCAUUCCUAAUGUUUUCUAUUUCUCCUAUUUAUUCCUUUCUUUUUUCUAAAACCCUCUCCUUCCCUCCAAACUUCCAAACAAAGUUUUAGGUUUGAUGAUUUCCUAAGCCUUCCCCCUCAUGUACCGAAGGUUGGUGCUCCACCUUCCUCUUUCUCCUUGAUUUAAUUGUCUGUGUUUCAGUGGUUUGAAUACCACUUGUUCUUCUGCAUGGGUUGCAGGAUUGGUACAUACUUUUACCUUUUUUUACUCAUUCAAUAUUUUAAUCUUUUGCCGUUUAAUAGAACCCUGUGACAACUCUUAAAAUUUGGCUUAAUACUAAUUUAGCCCUACAAAAUUGAUUUAUUAAGUGAGAGAUGUCUCACAUUUAUAAAUAUAUUUUUUGGCUAUAGUAAAAUUUAUUUUAUUUUGGCUACUUUCAUUCAAGAAGAAUAUAUUAUUAAAGUAUGUUCCACUACACUCUAGUACUCACUUUUUUAUUGGAUGAAAUAAAUGUAUGUCCCACCAUUUUAUGUAAGUUCAAUUUUUAAAGUGUAAAUUCUCAAUGAUUUAAACUAAUAAGAUAGUGAGUAUUAAAGAGAGUGUUUAAAAGAUAAUGUUGCUAAAUUCCUCAUAGAAUUGUAGAUGAGAAAUAUUUACAAAGUGGAAUAGAAUUGUGGAAUAUAUUCAUACUCUCAAGGAGAAAGUUAGAAACCAUUUUGGUGAUUUAUUCUCAACCAUUUAUUCUCUAAAAACUUAAAGGUCAACUACAAUUAACUCACAGUGUUUAUCUAGCAAUUACCCAAUUUUGUCCACAAGCAGUCAUAUCCGUGGUGAGCUUUUGAAUUCCAUAAGAUUCCAAGACAAUGAAAAUGUUAUAUAUAAAUGCAUACCAUGCUCAUUAAUUUUUCAAAACAAACCAAGUAGCUAUAGGACAUUAACUUCAUUUUGUUCCCGUGUGUUAAUUCCAAACAACGAAAGGCUAAAUUAGAUUAAAAAACGGUUAUAAUAUGAGGUAAAUGGUAGGGUACAUAGCAAACGUCCAAAGCACAGCCUUUUGGAGUUAUUGGUGUAUGGUAGGUUCCAACCCGUUCACUUCACUGUGUUGGAGUUUAUUAAAAGGACGAAAUUAGACCAUGCAUAUAUGUUAUCACACAUAAAAAAUGAACAUUCAACUUUAACCUGCCUACUCAAAAAUCACAAAUUUAGGUUUCUUGUACAGGCAUGAAUUCCAUAUAGAAAGAUAAACUUCCCCAUGGUCAUAUUUGUAGUGUUGAGUUUAGAGUUGAGUUUAAUUUUUCUGAAAGACUGAUAUAAAACGUUAGUCUACAUUUAAGACCUAUAUUAUACUAUUAGCAUAUUUAAACAAAUAAAAUCGCAUAUGUUUAAGUAGACUAGCAAAUGUGUAACCAAAAAAAAAAGUAGACUAGCUAAUGAGCUAAUAGACAAAUGAUCAUUAAACUAAAUUUUGAUAUUUAACACGACAUUAAUUUUAGAAAAUCCAACUAUAUAUAAUAUCAUAUAUCAAUUCUUAUUUAUCAUAAUACAUUUAAAUAUACAAAGAGAAAUACAAUAAUAUAGACUAAGAAGAUUAAAUUAUUAAAAGGGUUAGUUAAAUUUUAAUUUAAUGUAAAGUACAAAAUCUAACAUAAUAUAGAUUUAAAAAAAUUUAGUCCUUGCAAUUAUAUUUUUUUAGUUUCAGUCCCAAUAAAAAAAUUGUUUAGAUUCAAUCCAUGCAAAUUUUAAUAUUGUUGUUGAUCUUAGUCGGGAAAUACUUGGGUGCCAUAGUUUUUUGGUGUCAUUGGUGACAUAGGUUCAUUUUAGAUGAGAGAGAAUGAUGAAUGAAUAAUUAAAAUAAAUUAUUUUGAUGAGAGAGAAUAUGUUGGUAAGAGAGAGAUAGACACAAAAAUAUCAAUGACACCAAAAGGCAAUGGCACCAAAUUGCUACCCGUCUUAAUCUCUCACAUCAUACAUGACCCAAUAGAAUCACGUCACAUAGGCUAAUUAAAUAACCUAACUCACACACACACACUAGUGGACUUAUUUGUAUAUCUCGAAAUUCUAAACAUCAUUUUUCUAAAAAUUGGGGUAGAUGGAAUUUUUAAUAAUUAAAGACGACAUUAAUGAUCAUUUUACUCCUUAAAAAAUUAAUGAUCAUUUCACAAUUGUUAUCAUGGGGUUUGGCCAGGGUGCGUUUAAUUUGCUAAACAAUACUCCCUCCCGUCACUAUUAUAAGCAAAACUUUACUUUUUAGAUAUAUUGAAUAAUUAAUGUAUCUAGUUUUUAUUAUAGUAUGGAUACAUUAAUUAUUCAAUGUAUCUAAAAAGUGAAAUUUUGCUUAUAAUAGUGACCGAAAUGAGUAUACACAAGACAAAACAACACAACACAAGGCAGAACUGCACAUGACAAACUUUUAUGGUAUUGAAUAAUUUUUGGUGGACAAAAAUUUAUUUUUGUAUUUUAGAUAACUCAUACGUGAGACAAAAAAUUGUGUUGAGGUUUAGUGAGGGACAAAAAUUUCUGUUUUUGUCAUGUCCCUUGACUCCAGUUUGUGAUCCCUUCCCAAAAACAGUUUUAUAAACCAGAUACUAUACAACUGGAGUUAUCUUAUCAUGUCCUUCGUUUUUUAGCAGAUCAAACGCAUCCUUAAAGAUAAAAAGGCUAAACUUUUUUUUUCUUUCAAGAAAGGCUAAACUUUUACACAUUAUCACAUACUGUUACAAACAUCAUUUGAUUUUAAAUAAAAAGUACAAUGCCAAAACUACCAAAUAUUUAAAAUGAAAAGAAUGUUAUUAAUAUGUGUAAUUUAGUCAAUUUCAAUAAUGAAGAAUUCAUUUUUUGUUGAGAAAAAUAAUUUAGAUUGAGGGGAUGAUGCCCCAAUAUAAGACAGAAAAAAUCUUUAAGUUAAAAGAGCACUUACAAGUGUAUUUAUGUUUACCUCUUCUAAGAGAGUGCCUUCAACAUCCAUAUUUUUUUGAAUUUGAAUCCUCUCAAUUGUGAAAAAAAAAAACUUGAGAGAGUUACUGCAUGAUCACAUCUAUGCAUUUUAAUAGUAAAAUUAUCCAGAUAACUGUCACCAUUGUGAGGAUUCAAAUCCAUAUAUUUUGUUCAAUCUAUGAACAACUUUAACUAAUUUUAUUAUAUUUAAUGCUAUUAUAAAUACUCUUCAUUGAUUUAAAAUUUUAUUCUCUGAUGCAUUUUAGAAAUAAAUAUUUUUUGGCAAGUAAUAUAUAUAUAUAUAUAUAUAUAUAUAUAUAUAUAUAUAUAUAUAUAUAUAUAUAUAUAUAUAUAUAUUAUUUUGACAAAUGAGUUCAAUAAUCAUUAUAUCUUACGACCGUGUGAUUUUGAACUUCAUUCUUUGUGGAUACUAAAGUCAAACUACUUUUUUUUCUCUGUGAACUUAGUUUAGUUAUUAAGAACAAUGCAUAAUACAUCAUCCGGUCACAAAUAUAAACAAAAAUUUAUAUUUUAAAUUCAUUUAAUAAAUUAUGUAUGUUGUCUACAUGUAAAGACCACAUAAAUCAUUUAUUGAAUGAAUCUAAAACAUACAUUUUUGCUUAUAUUUGUGACCAGAGGGUGUAUAUGCAAAGUCUGGAGUUCGAAUCCCAAAAAAAAAAAUCAAAGUUUUAUUACUAUUAAUUAAUCUAACAUCUCAUAGACAAUUAAGGCUAUAUUUAAUAAAAAAUAAAAAAACAUAUUUAAUAAUAAAAAAAAUAGAUUUAAUUUAGGGUCUUUUAUUUUCAGAAGAGAACUAAUAUUCAGCAACACAUUUAAUACAUUUGAUGUAUACAAAAUAACACAAUAAGAAUGCUACAAAUACAAGAGAAGAGAUAACAUAUCUUAAGCCUCGGGUGAUGUUUGAUUAAUUUAAAAAAAUGAGAAGAAACUUACUAUAGAUAUAUAUAGUCCUAUAUAUACCGUUGCGUUGGCUGUGUGAAGAUGGAAUUGAAGAAUUAAUGUUGGGAAGAAAGUGCAUAGUUAGCUAGCAAGGUGCUAAUUGAGUUGGUGUGAUGGUUUGGUACGCAGAAGAAAGAUAGAAGUUAGAUCGUCAGGUACUUGAAAGAAUUUUCUUUCUUGAGAUUGAGUAGAUGUUCUUCUAGUUGUUACUGCUAGCCGUUGACGUUUUUUUGGAGGUGGUGGACAGACCAAGUCAAAGGAGUUCUUUGAUGGUGAUGUGGGUGGUGUGUGGUAAUAAUAAUGCUCUUCCUCUUGUACCUCCUUUCUUCUCUCUAGAUCUGAUGAUACUUCUUUUUCUUCUGUGUGUUGAUUCAAGGUAGUAAAUAUUCUAGCUUGAGGAACUCUUUGUUUGAUUGACAGAAAUUCUUCCAACAUUUCCAGACCCAUGUUGCCUGCAAAUUGCUGCUACUUUUGUGUAUGAGAAUAUUUUCCCGCGAGGUACUGUAUAAGAAGAAGGCUGCUGUGAGAGAGAGAGAGAGAGAUUAGUUAAUUUGAGAGGGUAGGGUAGUGAUGAAUGAUGAUGGGAGGUGGGUGCUGAAAGAGAGAUAGAUGCAUGAGAGAGAGAGAGAGAUAAGAAAGCCAAUCAAGGUGGGGUGUGGGUGGUGGGAAUCAUAAAUACCAACACCAAUUAAGUCUAUUACUCCCUCCGUCGUUAGAGUGUGUAAAUCCUCUUUCCUUUUUUCAUAUUUUUUUUAAAAAGUUAUCAAUAUAAUUAAUAUGUCUAUUUUUUGUAUUAAUAUUAUUAAAUUGUCCUUUAUUUAUAUGUGUAUUAAAUUUGACUUUUCAAAUUUCAAAGACAAGUUAAUAGUAUUAAUUAAGGAUAUGCUUAGAAAAAAA